AACGAACGCUGGCGGCAGGCCUAACACAUGCAAGUCGAGCGAGGACUUCGGUCCUAGCGGCGGACGGGUGAGUAACGCGUGGGAACGUGCCCUUUGCUUCGGAAUAGCCCUGGGAAACUGGGAGUAAUACCGGAUGAGCCCUUUGGGGGAAAGAUUUAUCGGCGAAGGAUCGGCCCGCGUUGGAUCAGGUAGUUGGUGGGGUAAUGGCCUACCAAGCCGACGAUCCAUAGCUGGUUUGAGAGGAUGAUCAGCCACACUGGGACUGAGACACGGCCCAGACUCCUACGGGAGGCAGCAGUGGGGAAUCUUAGACAAUGGGGGAAACCCUGAUCGAGCCAUGCCGCGUGAGCGAUGAAGGCCUUAGGGUUGUAAAGCUCUUUCAGCUGGGAAGAUAAUGACGGUACCAGCAGAAGAAGCCCCGGCUAACUCCGUG
rnacentral:rRNA from 1 species